rnacentral:rRNA from 1 species
AGCGAACGCUGGCGGCAGGCCUAAUACAUGCAAGUCGAGCGCCCCGCAAGGGGAGCGGCAGACGGGUGAGUAACGCGUGGGAAUCUACCCAUCACUACGGAACAACUCCGGGAAACUGGAGCUAAUACCGUAUACGUCCUUCGGGAGAAAGAUUUAUCGGUGAUGGAUGAGCCCGCGUUGGAUUAGCUAGUUGGUGGGGUAAUGGCCUACCAAGGCGACGAUCCAUAGCUGGUCUGAGAGGAUGAUCAGCCACACUGGGACUGAGACACGGCCCAGACUCCUACGGGAGGCAGCAGUGGGGAAUAUUGGUCAAUGGGCGAAAGCCUGAUCCAGCCAUGCCGCGUGAGUGAUGACGGCCCUAGGGUUGUAAAGCUCUUUCGCAGGUGAAGAUAAUGACGGUAACCUGAGAAGAAGCCCCGGCUAACUUCGUGCCAGCCGCCGCCGUAAAAC